rnacentral:rRNA from 1 species
GAUGAACGCUGGCGGCGUGCCUAAUACAUGCAAGUCGAGCGAACAGACGAGGAGCUUGCUCCUCUGACGUUAGCGGCGGACGGGUGAGUAACACGUGGAUAACCUACCUAUAAGACUGGGAUAACUUCGGGAAACCGGAGCUAAUACCGGAUACUAUAUUGAACCGCAUGGUUCAAUAGUGAAAGACGGUUUUGCUUUCACUUAUAGAUGGAUCCGCGCCGCAGUAGCUAGUUGGUAAGGUAACGGCUUACCAAGGCAACGAUGCGUAGCCGACCUGAGAGGGUGAUCGGCCACACUGGAACUGAGACACGGUCCAGACUCCUACGGGAGGCAGCAGUAGGGAAUCUUCCGCAAGGGGCGAAAGCCUGACGGAGCAACGCCGCGUGAGUGAUGAAGGUCUUCGGAUCGUAAAACUCUGUUAUUAGGGAAGAACAAAUGUGUAAGUAACUAUGCACGUCUUGACGGUACCUAAUCAGAAAGCCACGGCUAACUACGUG